rnacentral:rRNA from 1 species
AUUGAACGCUGGCGGCAGGCUUAACACAUGCAAGUCGAACGAGUGGCGGACGGGUGAGUAAUGUUUGGGAAACUGCCCGAUGGAGGGGGAUAACUACUGGAAACGGUAGCUAAUACCGCAUACCAUCGGAUGUGCCCAGAUGGGAUUAGGUAGUGGGUGGGGUAACGGCUCACCUAGGCGACGAUCCCUAGCUGGUCUGAGAGGAUGACCAGCCACACGGGAACUGAGACACGGUCCAGACUCCUACGGGAGGCAGCAGUGGGGAAUAUUGCGCAAUGGGGGCAAGCCUGAUACAGCCAUGCCGCGUGUAUGAAGAAGGCCUUCGGGUUGUAAAGUACUUUCGGCAGGGAGGCGUUACUCGCAGAAGAAGCACCGGCUAACUCCGUGCCAGCCGCCGCGGUAAUAC